rnacentral:rRNA from 1 species
AGAGUUUGAUCAUGGCUCAGGAUGAACGCUAGCGGCAGGCCUAAUACAUGCAAGUCGAACGGGCUGGAGUAGCAAUACUUCAGUUAGUGGCGCACGGGUGCGUAACGCGUAUGCAACCUACCUUUUAUUGGGGGAUAGCCCGAAGAAAUUCGGAUUAAUACCGCAUAAUAUCAUUUGAGGGCAUCUGAGGAUGAUGAAAGCUACGGCGAUAAAAGAUGGGCAUGCGUGUCAUUAGCUAGUUGGUUGAGGUAACGGCUCACCAAGGCGACGAUGACUAGGGGUUCUGAGAGGAUGAUCCCCCACACUGGUACUGAGAUACGGACCAGACUCCUACGGGAGGCAGCAGUAGGGAAUAUUGGGCAAUGGAGGCAACUCUGACCCAGCCAUGCCGCGUGAAGGAUGAAGGCCUUCUGGGUUGUAAACUUCUUUUAUCUAGGAAGAAAAUACUCUUGCGAGAGGAACUGACGGUACUAGAUGAAUAAGCACCGGCUAACUCCGUGCCAGCAGCCGCGGUAAUACGGAGGGUGCAAGCGUUGUCCGGAUUUAUUGGGUUUAAAGGGUGCGUAGGCGGCUUGAUAAGUCCGUGGUGAAAGCCAACAGCUCAACUGUUGAACUGCCAUGGAUACUGUCAGGCUUGAGUACAGACGAGGUAGGCGGAAUGGAUCGUGUAGCGGUGAAAUGCAUAGAUACGAUCCAGAACUCCGAUUGCGAAGGCAGCUUACUAGGCUGUAACUGACGCUGAGGCACGAAAGCGUGGGGAGCGAACAGGAUUAGAUACCCUAGUAGUCC